rnacentral:rRNA from 1 species
AUUGAACGCUGGCGGCAGGCUUAACACAUGCAAGUCGAGCGGGGUGAUGGUGCUUGCACUAUCACUUAGCGGCGGACGGGUGAGUAAUGCUUAGGAAUCUGCCUAUUAGUGGGAGACAACAUCUCGAAAGGGAUGCUAAUACCGCAUACGUCCUACGGGAGAAAGCAGGGGAUCACUUGUGACCUUGCGCUAAUAGAUGAGCCUAAGUCGGAUUAGCUAGUUGGUGGGGUAAAGGCUUACCAAGGCGACGAUCUGUAGCGGGUCUGAGAGGAGGAUCCGCCACACUGGGACUGAGACACGGCCCAGACUCCUACGGGAGGCAGCAGUGGGGAAUAUUGGACAAUGGGGGGAACCCUGAUCCAGCCAUGCCGCGUGUGUGAAGAAGGCCUUAUGGUUGUAAAGCACUUUAAGCGAGGAGGAGGCUCUUUUGGUUAAUACCCAAGAUGAGUGGACGUUACUCGCAGAAUAAGCACCGGCUAACUCUGUGCCAGCCGCCGCGGUAA